AUAGUAGAAGAUUUAAUCAAGGUUGAUUGAUUCCUAAAUUGAAUUGCUUUGCGAGUUCUGGAUGUCCAGACCCUCUACUUUGCUCGCAUGCCAACAAACGUAGGAGAGAGGGAUGAAGCCCUUCUUUAAAAGGGGAGAAGAGGAGGCCUUGAGAUAUGAUCUCUAUGCUUGGGAACAGCCCACAUGCCACAACACCAAGGG
rnacentral:lncRNA from 1 species